rnacentral:sRNA from 1 species
UGCUUCGAUGACCUAUCUAAUGUCGAG